CGGCGUGCUUAACACAUGCAAGUCGAGCGAUGAAGUUUCCUUCGGGAAACGGAUUAGCGGCGGACGGGUGAGUAACACGUGGGUAACCUGCCUCAUAGAGUGGAAUAGCCUUCCGAAAGGAAGAUUAAUACCGCAUAACGUUGAAAGGUGGCAUCAUCAUUCAACCAAAGGAGCAAUCCGCUAUGAGAUGGACCCGCGGCGCAUUAGCUAGUUGGUGGGGUAACGGCCUACCAAGGCGACGAUGCGUAGCCGACCUGAGAGGGUGAUCGGCCACAUUGGGACUGAGACACGGCCCAGACUCCUACGGGAGGCAGCAGUGGGGAAUAUUGCACAAUGGGGGAAACCCUGAUGCAGCAACGCCGCGUGAGUGAUGAAGGUUUUCGGAUCGUAAAGCUCUGUCUUUGGGGAAGAUAAUGACGGUACCCAAGGAGGAAGCCACGGCUAACUACGUGCCAGCAGCCGCGGUAAUACGUAGGUGGCGAGCGUUAUCCGGAUUUACUGGGCGUAAAGGGAGCGUAGGCGGAUGAUUAAGUGGGAUGUGAAAUACCCGGGCUCAACUUGGGGGCUGCAUUCCAAACUGGUUAUCUAGAGUGCAGGAGAGGAGAGUGGAAUUCCUAGUGUAGCGGUGAAAUGCGUAGAGAUUAGGAAGAACACCAGUGGCGAAGGCGACUCUCUGGACUGUAACUGACGCUGAGGCUCGAAAGCGUGGGGAGCAAACAGGAUUAGAUACCCCGGUAGUCCACGCCGUAAACGAUGAAUACUAGGUGUGGGGGUUUCAACACCUCCGUGCCGCCGCUAACGCAUUAAGUAUUCCGCCUGGGGAGUACGGUCGCAAGAUUAAAACUCAAAGGAAUUGACGGGGACCCGCACAAGUAGCGGAGCAUGUGGUUUAAUUCGAAGCAACGCGAAGAACCUUACCUACACUUGACAUCCCUUGCAUUACUCUUAAUCGAGGAAAUCCCUUCGGGGACAAGGUGACAGGUGGUGCAUGGUUGUCGUCAGCUCGUGUCGUGAGAUGUUGGGUUAAGUCCCGCAACGAGCGCAACCCUUGUCGUUAGUUACUACCAUUAAGUUGAGGACUCUAGCGAGACUGCCUGGGUUAACCAGGAGGAAGGUGGGGAUGACGUCAAAUCAUCAUGCCCCUUAUGUGUAGGGCUACACACGUGCUACAAUGGCUGGUACAGAGAGAUGCAAUACCGCGAGGUGGAGCCAAACUUAAAAACCAGUCUCAGUUCGGAUUGUAGGCUGAAACUCGCCUACAUGAAGCUGGAGUUACUAGUAAUCGCGAAUCAGAAUGUCGCGGUGAAUACGUUCCCGGGUCUUGUACACACCGCCCGUCACACCAUGAGAGUUGGCAAUACCCGAAGUCCGUGAGCUAACCGCAAGGAGGCAGCGGCCGAAGGUAGGGUCAGCGAUUGGGGUGA
rnacentral:rRNA from 1 species